CCUACGGGAGGCUGCAGUGAGGAAUAUUGGUCAAUGGACGAGAGUCUGAACCAGCCAAGUAGCGUGAAGGAUGACUGCCCUAUGGGUUGUAAACUUCUUUUAUAAAGGAAUAAAACGAGGCACGUGUGCCUUUUUGCAUGUACUUUAUGAAUAAGGAUCGGCUAACUCCGUGCCAGCAGCCGCGGUAAUACGGAGGAUCCGAGCGUUAUCCGGAUUUAUUGGGUUUAAAGGGAGGGUAGAUGGGGUGUUAAGUCAGUUGUGAAAGUUUGCGGCUCAACCGUAAAAUUGCAAUUGAUACUGGGAGUCUUGAGUACAGUAGAGGUAGGCGGAAUUCGUGGUGUAGCGGUGAAAUGCUUAGAUAUCACGAAGAACCCCGAUUGCGAAGGCAGCUUACUAAACUGUGACUGACAUUGAUGCUCGAAAGUGUAGGUAUCAAACAGGAUUAGAUACCCUAGUAGUC
rnacentral:rRNA from 1 species